rnacentral:lncRNA from 1 species
CCCAGGUUCAAGCUAUUCUCAUGCCUCAGCCUCCCCAUGUAACAGGGAUUACAGGUGCCUGCCACCACACCAAGCUAGUUUUUGUAUUUUUAGUAGAAACGGGGUUUUGCCAUGUUGGCCAGGCUGGUCUUGAACUCCUGACCUCAAAUGAUCCCUCAGCCCACCCCAGGGGUAGAGGAGUUCAGAAUUUCAGAUGUGGGUGGGCUUCUACAUGUCAGUGUGACCCUGAUGGCACUGGGGGUCUGUUCUUUUUUGCCUAGUUGGUGUUUGGUGUUUGCUAUGGUCUGAAUGUCUGUGUUCCCCUGCAAUUCUAAUGUUGA